AGCCUUAACUCUCCCAGCCUGAUGCUGAUUGGUUAACCAGCGUUGAGAGUUUAGCCUUAACUCUCCCAGCCUGAUGCUGAUUGGUUAACCAGUGUUGAGAGUUUAGCCUUAACUCUCCCAGCCUGAUGCUGAUUGGUUAACCAGCGUUGAGAGUUUAGCCUUAACUCUCCCAGCUGUUGGUUAAAUAGCGUCUGGAGGCGUCGUAAAGCAGACAGAUGGAAGCAUAGGACCUUGUGGCCAUUAUCAAACACUGGUUACAGCGGGACGUUUAGAGCAGAGAGGUGUGUGUGUACACCAAACUGAAGAGGGGAGAGGUGUGUGUGUACACCAAACUGAAGAGGGGAGAGGUGUGUGUGUACACCAAACUGAAGAGGGGAGAGGUGUGUGUGUACACCAAACUGAAGAGGGGAGAGGUGUGUGUGUACACCAAACUGAAGAGGGUAGAGGUGUGUGUGUGUGUGUGUGUGUGUUCCUCUUUCUCCACCUGCAGAUCAGGUUAGAUCCGUUUUGUGAAAUUCAGAUGCAAAUUCUCUGCUUCUAUUUGCCUAUGAUUUGUCCAUAUUUCUCUGCAAUGAAAAUCCUUCUGCAAGUGUGUGUCAGUCAGGUUCUGCAAUCAUGUCAGAGCUGACAGGCUACAGAGUGUCUGAUAAUAACAGCUAACCACUUCCUUCCUUCCCCACUUAAAAAGAGAGGUAGAAACUGUUCAUAGCUGCGGUAGUGUAGUGCACCUGGCCUGACUGCAUCAACAUGUCCAUUGCAUUCCAAAUGGCACCCUGUUCCCUACAUUGGGCCCUGUAGGCCCGGGUCCAAGAUAGGGUGCCAUUUGGGAUGCGGUUCUCACUCACCUCUAGGGCCCUCACUAGGACAGUCCAGCUGUCUCACUAUUGAACUGGACCUUUUUAGUGUUCAUUAGGGCACACCGUAGCAAAAUGUUUUGCAAUAGAAAAUGAACAUUUGUGUUGUUAUUGGAGACGUUCAGGUAAAAUCUCUCCAUUUAAAUGUUGUGUUGUUGUUGAACCACACCGACGCAGCAGCAAGCUCUGCUGUGUUUAAACCAGACGCGCACUGUGUUGUGGUCUGUAACAUGUUGAUGAUGCUUUCUGUCUGGACACACAGACAGAGAAUAUCUGUUAAAAUGACUAUUUAAUUAAGUGUUAAUGAAAGAAGUGUAUAAACAGGGGCGCAACUUUCACUGAGAACAGGGGGGGGACAUGUCCCCCCCACAUUCGGAUAACAGUUUUAUCAUUGGAACGUGAUACUAAACGAGGCCACGGUGUGCUUUAGGACCAUGCGGACGCCUCCGAGGUUGGGUGGGCUGUUUAGAGUGUCAUCUGACUGGAUUCAUUUUGUUUUUGAUAUGUCCCCCCAACUUCUAAAACCAAAGAUUCGCCCCUGUGUUAUAAAUAUGUGUGUCUGACUUCAGAAAGAAAAGCAUUAUUGAAGAAGACUACUUCUUCACAGGUAUCUUAUCUGUACAGGGAUGCAUUAAGGUGGCUGACUGUUUCUUUUUUUUACCCUGUGUGAGAUGUUUCUAGUGUGGGGCAGCAGUGAGUGAAUAUGCCAGUGAACAGACCUUAUUCCAGGUAUCUUAAUAGUGACGUCUAUAUUAAUUCUCAGUCAUAACUCAGUCUACGUCCCAAAUCGCAACAUAUUUCCUAUACAGUGACCUACUUUUUACCCAAAUCCAUAGGGAAUAACCCGGGUCCAUUCAUCCCAAAUGGCACCCUAUUCCCUAUAUAGUGACCUACUUUUUACCAUAAUCCAUGGGGAAUAACCCGGGUCCAUUCAUCCCAAAUGACACCCUUUUCCCUAUAUAGUGCACUAGGGACCAGAAGUAGGGUGCUGUAAAGGGAAUAUGGCGCCAUUUUGGACGACUCCUAAAACUGACCAAUGAGCAUCAGUAAUGUAAUCACAAAUAACUUUGGUUAUGGAGCUCAGAGUUAUGAGAGCCUGCCAGACUUCUGGUCCUUCCUCCUUGGUUGGUUAAUCAAUGUAGAUAUCCAGGUAAAGGUCAAAUAUUCUGGCUCUGCUUCUUUGUUGAUUUUAAUCAUUGUACUUUUUUCAAUCGGUUAUUAAAGGCUCCCUGUCUGAUUUCAGUUGAACCAGAAAUAAAUACUGUAAUUGUUUCAACAUUUUAUCUCCUAGAAAAGAAAAUGGUAAAAACAUAGAAUGUAUUUGUUACAGUAUAGUCAUAGUAGUCUGGCUGACGAGACUAUAUUCACAGUUCUCUCUCUCCUUUAGCACUAAAAGUCAAGUAUUCAUUUACCCACGUUUAAAACCACGAGGCUGCAAUGAAAGCAAAAUGGAGGAUACUGUUGCUGUUUCUUACGUAUAUUCCUAUAUUUGUGUUGAAGCUGUAUAUUAUCUCUUGCUAUUCUUUGUCUUUGUAUGAAUAAUGUAUGUUUACACGCUCUCCUUACUCUCCCAAAUAACUGCUCUAUUUUGUAAUAAAAUACAAGCUGACCAUCCUUA